rnacentral:snRNA from 1 species
UUGCAAGGUCCUUCAAGACAACUUCAGAUGCAGGAUGCUCACUAACUAUGUCAUCAACUCACCCAGAAUGGUAGACUGGGGGUGGAAGGUCGCUAAGGCCUUUAUCAAUGCCCACACUGUCAACAAAAUACGCAUCAGGAGAGGGGUGCCGACAGAUGAAAUGAGAGCUCACAUAAAC